UCCAGUGGCCUAAGUGGUUAAAGCGUCCGCCUAGGAUACGGGUAGUCGCUGGUUCGAACCCCGGCCUAGUCAU